rnacentral:lncRNA from 1 species
UGGAAUUGGCCUGAAGAAAGAAACGGCAGGUGAAGCCUAAGACACUGGUGCCAAAGUUAGUAACUAAGAACAAUUCUAUGGACAGUGUGAAAACACAAGUCCAGUAAACACGUCUUACCUCUUGGCUGUGCCAAGGGGCUCUAUUUAUAGAGAGCAUUUGUGAUGCUCUUAGUACUUAGUUUCGAUGUGGGACUCGUAGAGACGUGCUCUGACAGGCACUGGCAAGAGUUUCGAGGUUAUCUGUCGG